ACAUUCCGCUUUAUGGUAUUUUUCCUUUAAAGAAAAUCCAAUUUAGGCGGAAGUGUUGUCCCUGAUCAGCGUGUCCGGACUGCACAGUCGAAUAAGGACGAUACUUAACGCACAGUCAUAAAGCCAGUUUUCCCAGAGCGAGGCUAAUUUGUAUAACUUUCUUUCUUUUAGCCGACGAUAGUCUCUGCAUCCGCAGUAUAAACUUCUCUGUCGACGGCAGAUUUAUCUCUAUAUAAGCUACGGAUCCCUCGAAUUUCAUAACACUGCCACACUGCAAGUAAUUCUUCCUUUGUUCGGGGUUUCACACAAAUCUUUAUCCAUGUAAAAUCUUUACAUGCAAUAACGAUUCAGAAGGCUUACAAACACAAGUUACGUAAAACAUUCCAGUUCUUCGUUUAAAAAUAAACAUAUAACAUUUAUUAAAUUAAUAAAUUCAAAAUAAUACAUAAAUACAUACAUACAUACAUAAAAAUAUAUACACAUAUAUAAAUAAAUACUAUGACUUUGGUUAAGAACAAAAAUGAUAUUUAUUCAACUACUCAUGGUUCGGCCUGUAUCAACGAUUGCGAUUACAAGAUGUGGCAUAUUUUCAUGGCAUCGUGCACCGCUCUUCGCGACAGGAGGAAGAUCGUCUGGAACACACAAAUGAUCUGAAAGGCGCGCGCACCGUUGACAUGGACGUGUUCCACUGGGCCACCAGGAUGCGUUGUUCGUGACCGGCAGUGCGGGAGAGGACUCGCCGAACAUAGUCGGCGUGUAUAAUGUCGGCAGACUGGAAUACCGCGCCAUCCGAGAACUUAAGGUGACCUGCAAUGCAAACACGAGGUUUUACGAAGCAGACAACAGAUCAGUGGUCAUGGAAAUUUACGAUAAGUUUUACUUGUUUGACCUUGAAAAGAUGGACGUCAGCAUCGUGUUUCCGGGUCGAGUAGUCGAGUGUGUAUCUUGACCAAACGGAAGCAACUCCUCGUGACGUCACGUUUUGUCACGUUUUGGCAAGAACGUGAAACUGUACAACAUCACAAACGGCCGCAUUGACGACACAAUAAAAACUGGGCACAAGAAGGAGAUCUACCAAGUUGUGGUCAGUUGUUAUACCUUUCUUAACAUUAUGUCAUAUGCCACCUGUACUGUACAAGUGUAGUAGCAAGCAGUGAACAUCUCAAAACUGUAUUGCAAAACUGUAAAAACAACAUUGUUUUUUAAUGUUGUG